GACGAAGGACCCAAGCGUUAUCCGGAUUCAUUGGGUUUAAAGGGUGCGUAGGCGGAUUGAUAAGUCAGUGGUGAAAUCCUGCAGCUUAACUGCAGAACUGCCAUUGAUACUGUCGAUCUUGAAUAUGUUUGAUGUGGGCGGAAUAUGACAUGUAGCGGUGAAAUGCUUAGAUAUGUCAUAGAACACCGAUUGCGAAGGCAGCUCACAAAGCCAUUAUUGACGCUGAGGCACGAAAGUGUGGGGAUCAAACAGG
rnacentral:rRNA from 1 species